UACGAAGGGGGCUAGCGUUGCUCGGAAUGACUGGGCGUAAAGGGCGCGUAGGCGGAUGGUACAGUCAGAUGUGAAAUUCCCGGGCUUAACCUGGGGGCUGCAUUUGAUACGUAUUGUCUUGAGUUCGGAAGAGGGUCGUGGAAUUUCCAGUGUAGAGGUGAAAUUCGUAGAUAUUGGAAAGAACACCGGUGGCGAAGGCGGCGACCUGGUCCGACACUGACGCUGAGGCGCGAAAGCGUGGGGAGCGAACAGG
rnacentral:rRNA from 1 species